rnacentral:rRNA from 1 species
AUUGAACGCUGGCGGCAGGCCUAACACAUGCAAGUCGAGCGGGGGUAGCAAUACCCUAGCGGCGAACGGGUGAGUAAUGCAUAGGAAUCUGCCUCGUCGUGGGGGACAACGUUUCGAAAGGAACGCUAAUACCGCAUACGUCCUACGGGAGACAGUGGGGGAUCUUCGGACCUCACGCUAGGAGAUGAGCCUAGGUACGAUUAGCUAGUUGGUGGGGUAAAGGCUCACCAAGGCGACGAUCGUUAACUGGUCUGAGAGGAUGAUCAGUCACGCUGGAACUGAGACACGGUCCAGACUCCUACGGGAGGCAGCAGUGGGGAAUAUUGGACAAUGGGGGAAACCCUGAUCCAGCCAUGCCGCGUGUGUGAAGAAGGCCUUCGGGUUGUAAAGCACUUUAAGCAGGGAGGAAGGUUUGCUGGUUAAUACCUGGCAAAAUUGACGUUACCUGCAGAAUAAGCACCGGCUAACUCUGUGCCAGCCGCCGCCGUAA